rnacentral:rRNA from 1 species
UAAUGUCUGGGAAACUGCCUGAUGGAGGGGGAGUAACUACUGGAAACGGUAGCUAAUACCGCAUAACGUCGCAAGACCAAAGAGGGGGACCUUCGGGCCUCUUGCCAUCGGAUGUGCCCAGAUGGGAUUAGCUAGUAGGUGGGGUAACGGCUCACCUAGGCGACGAUCCCUAGCUGGUCUGAGAGGAUGACCAGCCACACUGGAACUGAGACACGGUCCAGACUCCUACGGGAGGCAGCAUG